UAGGGAAUCUUCGGCAAUGGGGGGAACCCUGACCGAGCAACGCCGCGUGAGUGAAGAAGGUUUUCGGAUCGUAAAGCUCUGUUGUUAAGGAAGAACGAGUGUGAGAAUGGAAAGUUCAUGCUGUGACGGUACUUAACCAGAAAGGGACGGCUAACUACGUGCCAGCAGCCGCGGUAAUACGUAGGUCCCGAGCGUUGUCCGGAUUUAUUGGGCGUAAAGCGAGCGCAGGCGGUUAGAAAAGUCUGAAGUGAAAGGCAGUGGCUCAACCAUUGUAGGCUUUGGAAACUGUUUAACGUGAGUGCAGAAGGGGAGAGUGGAAUUCCAUGUGUAGCGGUGAUAUGCGUAGAUAUAUGGAGGAACACCGGUGGCGAAAGCGGCUCUCUGGUCUGUAACUGACGCUGAGGCUCGAAAGCGUGGGGAGCGAACAGG
rnacentral:rRNA from 1 species